CCACAUGCCCAAAUUAUAAAACUAUUGACCAAUUAUUAGAUUUCUAAAAUUAACAAUUAUUAGAUUUCUAAAAUUCUUGCUGAAUCCCAUAAGAUCUAGUAAUUCCGCAUUGGACCAGAAUUCUAUAUGGUGGUCCAUCUUCUCUUUCUAAGCCUUCCUCUUACGAAAUUUUCUUAUGAACUAGGUACAAAACCCUAAAAAUUGAAUCCA
rnacentral:lncRNA from 1 species